rnacentral:rRNA from 1 species
AAAUUGAAGAGUUUGAUCAUGGCUCAGAUUGAACGCUGGCGGCAGGCCUAACACAUGCAAGUCGAACGGUAACAGGAAGCAGCUUGCUGCUUUGCUGACGAGUGGCGGACGGGUGAGUAAUGUCUGGGAAACUGCCUGAUGGAGGGGGAUAACUACUGGAAACGGUGGCUAAUACCGCAUAACGUCGCAAGACCAAAGAGGGGGACCUUCGGGCCUCUUGCCAUCAGAUGUGCCCAGAUGGGAUUAGCUUGUUGGUGAGGUAACGGCUCACCAAGGCGACGAUCCCUAGCUGGUCUGAGAGGAUGACCAGCCACACUGGAACUGAGACACGGUCCAGACUCCUACGGGAGGCA